AACGAACGCUGGCGGCAUGCCUAACACAUGCAAGUCGAACGAGACCUUCGGGUCUAGUGGCGCACGGGUGCGUAACGCGUGGGAACCUGCCCUUAGGUUCGGAAUAACUCCCCGAAAGGGGUGCUAAUACCGGAUAAUGUCUUCGGACCAAAGAUUUAUCGCCUUUGGAAGGGCCCGCGUUGGAUUAGCUAGUUGGUAGGGUAAAAGCCUACCAAGGCGACGAUCCAUAGCUGGUCUGAGAGGAUGAUCAGCCACACUGGGACUGAGACACGGCCCAGACUCCUACGGGAGGCAGCAGUGGGGAAUAUUGGACCAUGGGCGAAAGCCUGAUCCAGCUAUGCCGCGUGAGUGAUGAAGGCCUUAGGGUUGUAAAGCUCUUUUACCCGGGAUGAUAAUGACAGUACCGGGAGAAUAAGCUCCGGCUAACUCCGUG
rnacentral:rRNA from 1 species